AAUCAUUGAAGUUUGGUGGAUUAAAUUAUUUGUUGAUGUAAUAAGCUAGUACCUUCGUUUUUUAUUAUAAGUCGCUUUGCAAACAUAUUUUGUACCACAAUAUAAGUUGUUUUAUAAUAUCAAUGAAUGAUUAAUGUUAUUUUCCCUAUUAUACCCAUACCUUUUUAUUAUUUUCUCUCCUUUUAAUUAUGUCAAUUUAU
rnacentral:lncRNA from 1 species